GCGGGUGUAGUUCAAUGGUAGAAUUCCAGCCUUCCAAGCUGGAUACGUGGGUUCGAUUCCCAUCACCCGCUCCA
rnacentral:tRNA from 1 species